AGCGAACGCUGGCGGCAGGCCUAACACAUGCAAGUCGAACGAACCCUUCGGGGUUAGUGGCGGACGGGUGAGUAACACGUGGGAACGUGUCUUUAGGUUCGGAAUAACUCAGGGAAACUUGUGCUAAUACCGAAUGUGCCCUUCGGGGGAAAGAUUUGUCGCCUUUAGAGCGGCCCGCGUCUGAUUAGCUAGUUGGUGAGGUAAUGGCUCACCAAGGCUACGAUCAGUAGCUGGUCUGAGAGGUUGACCAGCCACAUUGGGACUGAGACACGGCCCAAACUCCUACGAGAGGAAGCAGUGGGGAAUCUUGCGCAAUGGGCGAAAGGCUGACGCAGCCAUGCCGCGUGGAUGAUGAAGGUCUUAGGAUUGUAAAAUCCUUUCACCGGUGAAGAUAAUGACUGUAGCCGGAGAAGAAGCCCCGGCUAACUUCGUGCCAGCAGCCGCAGUAACAC
rnacentral:rRNA from 1 species